GCAUUGGUGGUUCAGUGGUAGAAUUUGCGCCUCCCAAGCGGGAGACCUGGGUCCGAUUCCCGGCCAAUGCA
rfam:Danio rerio chromosome 4, GRCz11 reference primary assembly.